rnacentral:rRNA from 1 species
AUUGAACGCUGGCGGCAGGCCUAACACAUGCAAGUCGAACGAGUGGCGGACGGGUGAGUAAUGUCUGGGAAACUGCCUGAUUGAGGGGGAUAACUACUGGAAACGGUAGCUAAUAACGCAUACCAUCAGAUGUGCCCAGAUGGGAUUAGCUAGUUGGUGGGGUAACGGCUCACCAAGGCGACGACCCCUAGGUGGUCUGAGAGGAUGACCAGCCACACUGGAACUGAGAAACGGUCCAGACUCCUACGGGAGGCAGCAGUGGGGAAUAUUGCACAAGGGGCGCAAGCCUGAUGCAGCAAUGCCGAGUGUAUGAAGAAGGCCGUCGGGUGGUAAAGUACUGUCAGCGGGGAGGCGUUACCCGAAGAAGAAGCACCGGCUAACUCCGUGCCAGCAGCCGCGGUAAUAC